AGAUAUAUGUCCAGGAGUGAGAUUGCUGGAUCAUAUGGAGACACCGGUUGGAUCCCUGAUCUGUGAAGAUCCCACAUGCUGCGGAACAACUCGGCCCAUGUGCCACAGCUAUUGAGCCUGUGCUCUAGAGCCUGGGAGCUGCCAACUGCUGAGCCCAUGUUCUACAACUACUGAAGCCUAUGCACCCUUGAGACUAUACUCUACAACGAGAGAAGCCACCACAAUGAGAAGACUGCUCGUUGCAACUAGAGAGUAGCUCCCACUCACUGCAACUAGAGAAAAAGCCCACAUGCACAGCAACGGAGACCCAGAGCGGCCAGAAAAUUUUAAAAGUUAUUAGAAUAUUUAUCAAUUAAAGACAAUUUUAAAAUUUACAUUUUAUUUCUUUUGGACAGCUCCACCACUCCAGUACUCUUGCCUGGAAAAUCCCAUGGACGGAGGAGCCUGGUGGGCUGCAGUCCAUGGGGUCGCAAAGAGUCGGACACAACUGAGCGACUUCACUUUCACUUUUCAUGUUCAUGCAUUGGAGAAGGACAUGGCAACCCACUCCAGUGUUCUUGCCUGGAGAAUCCCAGGGACGGCGGAGCCUGGUGGGGUCACACAGAGUUGGACACAACUGACACGACUUAGCAGCAGCAGCCGCAGUAUAACUAAUGUAGAUGCUUCUCUUCUCUGCAUGUGUCCUCCGCCAUACCUGACUUUGCCACCUUUGAUUUGCUCUCUGCCUUUAUCUAAUCCCUUCUCCAUGUCUCAGCCUGAAAAACCACUUCCUCCCUCCUGGAAACAGCAUUCCUUUUUUUAGUUCAGUUCAGUCGCUCAGUCAUAUCCGACUCUUUGCGACCCCAUGGACCACAGCACGCCAGGCCUCCCUGUCCAGCACCAACUUCCAGAGUUUACUCAAACUCAUGUCCAUUGAGUUGGUGAUGCCAUCCAACCAUCUGAUCCUCUGUCGUCCCCUUCUCCUCCUGCCUUCAAUCUUUCCCAGUGUCAGGUCUUUUCAAAUGAGUCCUUUGAACUUUUUUCAAGGGGAGUUUUUUUCCCUCUUGGUUCCUCCCCAUUUUCUGAAGUGCCUAGAAGUCUACCCAAAUGAACGCAGAUGUUCUUCUCUGUUCAGUAUCAGGG
ensembl:lncRNA